rnacentral:tRNA from 1 species
GGGGGCAUAGUUUAGUGGUAGAGCACUUGCAUGAGGCCCUGGGUUACAUCCCCAGGACCCCCA